CCAUAGCCUUAAAACACAUUACAAAAUACAGUGGUCUAGGGUUUUAUAGUAUUCAUUUGCAUUUUUUUAAAAAGUACUUUUCAGGGACUGGGGAUGUAACUCACUUGGCAGUGUUUGCCUAGGAUGCAAGAAUUCCUGGGUUCAACACCCAGCAUUGCAUAUACCCAAUGUAGUGGUGAUCAGCAGCCCAUGAGAGCAGAGGCAAAAGAAUCAGAGGUCACAGGUCAUUCUCAACUACUUAACAAGAGAGAAGCCAUUCCAGGGCCAUGAUACCCUGCCUCAAAAUAAAAUAAAUCAAAACCAUCAAUCAUAAAAACUGGUUUUUCCAUGUUUCCCAAUUCUAGUAGUUUCGGUUUUGAGCUGAGAAAACUGAUCUGAACCCAAGACCUCCACUGAUUAUCAACUGCCAUGCGGCAGCACCCAGAGUUUUCCUCCUUUAUCUCUCUAAGGAGCCUUGUGCAGACACCCCAGGACACCCUACCCACUGUCCACCUUGUGCACUGCAGAGGCACAAUGGGUUUCAUCACCUCCCUCUGGUAAGUGUUUGAUGAUGGUACCUUUGAUGUGAGUGCGGAUCACCAAAUCAAAGUGAUGGUUUGUUUAAUGUUUGCCACACAUCCGGGUGAUUCUGAAGCUAACACAGAAGAGGAGGCACAUUACAACAGGGAUUUCUCUCUCUAACCAAUUAAGGUCAUUCAAGAAGUCUCCCAAUUUAAAUAGUUGCCCAAGUAGAGAAUGAGUCUCCCUAGCAACCAUUUACUAAGAAGGCACAUCAGAUGAUUGUGAAGAGACCAAAAAUGCAGACAUAUAAAGUAUGAGCCAGCAAUUACUUGGACAAUGACAGUUUGCAUAGAAGGCACACUUGAGACCUGGCGCUAAGCUGUGUGAUGAAUACCAGUGUUAGGUAUUUACCCUCAGUUUUUCCUCUGAUUACUACACCAAGAAUAAAUUUUCAAAUUCUAACUCUAGUAAGGCACAAUAAUACGAUAGUAAGAUAUGAUUUUGAAAUCACAUUCCUCUCCUCUGAUACUUAAUUCUGUGGCUGUGUAUUUCCAUAGAAGACCAUCAGUUUCCUUUCUGUUUUCCAGAAGAGAAAGCUCUGGGGACAGUCUAGCUCUGCCCAGCCUCAGUGGGUACAGCUCACUGGAUUGGCAGGCUGGGACCUUAACUCUAAAGCACUUGAUCCUCUUUGAGGGAGGUGUUUCUGCAUUCUGCAUUCUGUAUUCUGAGAUGCCUAAGCAACACUGUGAGUUGCAAAGACUUGUGUGAGGGCUUUUCUAGUUGGCUAGAGCUAUGGAUGACUGUGGAGACCAGUUUAGUUCCCUCUAACUUAGGGAAAAGGAUGGAGAAGCCCAUUUCUAGUGCAUGAAGUGUCAAUGCCCACUAAUUUGGUUUUACCUUCAAUAAAGUAGAUAGUUUUGCUUCCAACCAGUUGAUCCUCCCAGAAUGGGAAGAAUGGGAUGUUAUUCAAUGUGGCUGCAAAAUUUUCAUAAUAAUAAGCAAUCAAUAUUGGCCCCCAGGAAGCCCUAUUUAUUCCAUUCACUGGAAAGGAGACCAUCUGUGGAGUAGGUACCACUAGGUCUCUGUCCUGGGAACAUGGAAUGUAGGCAUCUGCAAUUAAUGUUAUUAAUUUUAAUUGUGCACAGAAUCCUUUGAUGUCUGCAGUGCCAUUAUUCUGCCUUACAAAUAAAUAGCACUACCUCUCUGGUAUAAGUUUAGGGAAAGCUAUUUUAGUCCACUUUCUAUUAUCGUCAGGCAGUGGGCUUUACCAGCUCACACAGAACAAAUUUGAUUGUGUUUAUAUUUAAGCUUUCUUAACAAGGGAAAACAGGAGGAUUAGCUUCAAUAAAAACAGGAGCGGCAUUCUGAAUGUGUUUAAACAAGUUUUCCCCACCAAAAAAAAAAAAAAUAGACCUAUAGCAUAUCAUUUUCAACUACACUGGCAGGGGAAAAAAAAAGCCAAAGGUUCCCCUAAAGAAUUUGGACCAUGCUCAAGGCAAGUUACAGCUGGAUCCUAUUAUAGGAAUCAAUCUUUUCUCACCAAUGACUGUUUACAUCCAUGAAGCUUUUCAGUAAAUUCAUUCAAUCAAAAGCAGUUUUCGAUGCUUGGCAAAUAUUAGAUUACACAUAAUAUACUUGUAAUGUUAGCAGAGAAAAGAGGAUGACACACACCCAGGCCACUCUUCAGAGCAGCUGCUGUGUCCACCCAGCCUGAGGCAUGUCUCUGUGUAGAUUGAUGGGACUUACUUUAGUGCACUAAUGCUGACACAUUUACUUAUCAUUCAUGAUAAUCACUUCUGCUGCUUCAGGGAGAAAUUUUUCUAAGCACCUAAGUAUUUGGGGGAUUAAUUACGGUGUGCUGAAAAGGAGGAAGGCACUUUUGGGGUGAUACAGCAGUGUUUGUCAAGACUCUGGUCCAGAUAAUCUAAUUUAUUCUUUUGUUCAAUUAGAGUAACUUGUCUGUGUCCUCAUUGUUCUUUGUCUCAAACUGGAGCAGUGGUGUUUUCUUAAAAAAAAAAAUGUUGUUUUGGGCCAGUAGGCAAAGUGCUUGAGUUCAUAGCUUAUCACCCAUGUAGAACGCUAUGCAUGGCUGUGAGUAUCUCUAACUCCAGGACUGAGGAGACAGAGAAAGAUCCUCUCUGGAACUCAAUAGCUAGUUGGCCUAGCCAAAAUGGCAAGUUGCAGGUUCAGCGAUGAGAAACUAUUUCAAAAAAUAAGGUUCAGAAGGUUUGAGGAAGACAUACCGAAGGUAGCCAGUGAUGUUCACAGUACUUCUACACACACACAAGUACAUGGAUAUGCUUAAACCACACACAUACAUGCACAUGGGUGUACAAGCAUGUACAUGUGCAUGCACACACACACACAUGAGAGAGGUCAUUUGGGAAAUUUCACUCUAUAAGCUGUGCAUUACAUUUCUCUUUAUGUAGCUUUCAUUUCUGUACUUGACAAAACACCCUGCUGAUAAGUAUGUCUUCCUAUCCCCUAUCAGGAAAUGUAGUCUAAUGGUUAGAACAGUAAGUUGAAUCUAUAAAGGACUACAGUGAAAAACAGGUCCCCUCCUUCCUUCCUUGACAGUCUAUAGGUGGAAGUCAUAAGAAUCAGUGGCUUAAUCUUCCCCCAAGCACCUUUGUUGGCUCUGCCUUUUUGUGUAAUGAGUCAUUUAUGCAGUGAGUACUCCAAGUGCUUUGCAGAUUUGAGGAUAAGCACAACAUAAUCUUAAAAUCUGAGGGUUUCAAGAAAAACAGUUGUGAUAUUCCAGGAGGUACUAAGUUAGAUUUGUAGAAUGAAAGCCAGGUGAUGUCCAGUGUUGGUGGCAUGUAGGAGUCUAGGGACCUUCUUCAGUACUAGAGAGCCGAAGGACAGCGUAUACUGUGUAUACAUUGUGUAUAUACUGUGUAUACACAGUGAUGAAUCUAGUGAGCAUGCCUUUGAGGUUGGCAACUGUAUCUUUCACAAUGUGUCCAUGGGAAUCUCUGACAGUAUCCAGGACUGCCACAGCAGGGCUCACUGUCAGAUGAAAUAUAGAGUGCAUGUGUCAUAAAUGCUUUGUCCUGUCUGAUGGUCACAGGACAGAUACACAUACAGUAAUGUGGACUUAGGAGAAAACAUAAGCACAACCCUUUCCCAGCAUGGAACAGGAUAGCAUCUAUGCAGCAGCACUGGGUAUAUAAGUGGGCCAUGAUAUCGAAUAAAACUCUGCAUUUUCCUAGAACACAAACACAAUGAAAGAUCACCCAGACAUGCCUCAGUGGUUGCAUAAGAUGGGAGUGGACAGAAAUGAGGAUAUUAGGGAAUGAAUAUGCAUGUGAUAUAAGAAUAUGAGGAAGAGCCACGAAUGGAAAAACAACAGUAUGGCAAGAGCCAGACAAAGCAAAUUCAAAAUCUCUAUUUCAAAUGUGGCUACCUCCCCCAACUCACUCUCUCUCUCUCUCUCUCACUCACACACACACACACACACACACACACACACACACACACACACACACACACAGACACACACACGAGCUUGCAUAUAUUUUCUCUUGAUACGUUAAGGGGUUCAGGGAGAUGCAUAAUACCUGGUAGAGACUCAUAAUGGAUAAUACAAAGGUGACAAGAUGAUAGCCAAAGCUCCUGUUGAACAGAUCAGGUGGAUACAUCGCCACUUUCCAAAUAACUGUAGUGGAUGAGCUGAAUUCCCUCUGUUAACCCCACCAUCCCGACUCCUUUUCCAUGGGUGUGCUUUUGUCAGAGUCCUGUUUGAUCUUCAUGCUGACUAGAUGGUAAGUGCUCAGACAGCCUAGGAGGCGGGGAGGAAAGGUGUGGGUUACACUGAUCUGGCCCACAGCUUCUUAUGGAGCACACUGCUUUUCAAAGUCACUUCUAGAUGCUCUUCAGGAACGCCACAGGACUGUUGACUGCUUUUAGUGAAGCAACAAGGAACCAAUGAAGAAAAGAAGCUUAAUGGAGUCAAACUCCACAGGGAUGGCAGAAGGAAGAGCUGGCUCUGUGUUAUGCAAGAACCAAUCCAGAAGACUUCUAGAGAAUUCUGUCCUAGAGAUGAGUGGGCACAAAUCCAUGUUGGCUAUAUUAUUCACAGCUUUCCACAAAUCAUCUCAGUAUCCCAGAAACAACUCCUACCUACCAGCAAGUGCUAUUUUAAAAAUGCAUUUCGGAAUAUUUGGCACAAAAACUGUAGCCUCCCUGCUUUUGUGAGGUAUUGUUUGCCCUGCCUUAAAAGCCACAGUAAAUCUCAAAUGUACACACACAUACAUUCUCUCUCUCUCCCUCUCUCUCUCUCUCUCUCUCUCUCUCUCUCUCUCUCUCUCUCUCUCUUUCUCUCUCUCUCUCUCUCUCCUCCUUCCUUCUCCCUCCCUUUUCUCUCCUCCCCCUCUGCCUCCCUUCCUUCUCCUCCCUCCCUCUCCCUCCCUUUUCUCUCCUCCCCCUCUGCCUCCCUUCCUUCUCCUCCCUCCCUCUCCCUCCCUCUUUCUCUCCUCCCCCUCUGCCUCCCUCCCUUCCUCUCUCCACAUUUUGUGUGUGUCUGUGUGUGUGUGUGUGACACAAUGUAGUAUGGUGGUCAGAGAGCCAUUUGUGGAAAGCAGUUAUCACCUUUGACCCUGUAGUUCCCAGGGACCAAGAUUGGGUCCUCAGGCUAGGCAGCAAGUGCCUCUACCAGCUGAGCCAUCUUGCUGGCCCAUUUUUCCUCUCUACUGGUGGGUUGUGUACACUGGCACCAUGAGAAAUUGGUGCCAUUGACUGUCUGUGCUAGUCUUCCUGCUAUAAUGCACAAAGCAAACAGGUCCUGAAAACACAGUCAUCUCCCAGAACUUUCUCACGGGCAUCCUGACAGUUGUAUCCAUGGGACAUCAGUUCACUUCUAUUCUCCCUUUUUAUUUUCUUGUUGACCUUGGCUUUUCUGAAGCACCUCAAUGACCUGUUCUAACUUCAGCAUUUGAAGCUUUUUUUUUUUUAAUUUUGCUGACAUCAGUAUUCUCUCUGCUCUGAACCACUGACCUAGCUUCCCUCUCUAGGGCAUCCAUGAAUCUCUUUAUUUGCUUCUAUUUUCUCUUUCCACUGGUUAUCUCACUGGAAAAGGUAUCAGAGUGUAGUUAACGUUGCUCAACACCUAGUCUCCUCAAUAUGCCACCUGCUAAAUUCAGUUACAUUAAGGUUUAAUUGCAUCUCAAUGGAUUAUGGCUGUAUACAUAACUGUGUUGGUCAUGUAAUGUGUCUUCAGUAAGGUGAAAACAUGCCACAUUAUCUAGCAACAAAUUGGGACAAGGGAAAGGAUGUCAUCUCUUCAGCUAAAAUCAUACUAUUUAUUAAUUCAUUCAAUAUUUAUUGAACUCCUAGUAUAUAAUAGGCAUUUACUGAGCUCUCAUGUAUUGAAUGUAAGUUGGUGAAUAAAAUAUACCUAGACCCUGUCUUUGAAAAGUAGGAAGUCUGUCGUGACAAAGACAGUAGAUAGGAUCCACAACCAUAUGUAUGGAUAUAGAGUAAUGUUGUUGAGGAUUACCCAGAAAAGCAACUUGGGGGAGGUCAGUAGGGUUGCCAGAUUAAGCCAGUGAAAACACUUAGGCUCUGUUAAAUGGGAACUACAGAUGAGCAAUACAUGUUUUUUAUAUAAACAUGGUCCAAGCACUUCCUGGUAUGUGGAUAUAUAUAAAAUGUAUUCAUUGUUUUUCUGAAAUUAAAAUGUAACUGAGUCCUUUAUUUUAUCUAGCUAUCUAAUAGUUCAGGGCAGGUUUCUCUGGAAGGUAACAUUUAAACUGAGAAAUGAAAGAGUAGUGACCCACAAGGACAGCAUUGAAUGGCAAAGAUGGCCACCUUGUAAAGGAGGGAGGGCUCUGAUUGGUCUGGAGGAUCAGGCAGAGAGAAUAGAAUAUACAAGGCUCUCUAAAUCAUGACAAGGGGAGAGUGGUUAUUUGACAUAUAGAUUCUCAUUGACUGAGGAUAGAAUUCAGUCCUGAAACCCUCUAGUACCUUGGAAAUAUGACUUAUCACCAGAGAAUAGAUCAGAAAUUAUUACACAUACACAGUAGAACAUUAGUUAUUCUAAAGAAAAGAGCUAUCAAGUAAUGAAGAGGCGUUCAGGGAAUCUUGAGUGCUGAUUGUCAGCAGAAGCCAGUCUGCAAAGGCUAGUACUGUAUGACUCCACUCCUUCACAUUCAGGAAGAGGCAAACUAUAGAGUCAGUUUAAAAAAAAAAAAAGCAAAAGUGGUUGCCACCGGGUUGAGAAAGAAGGAAAAGAGAGGGUUGUGGGGCACAAGGGCCAUUUAGGACAGUGAAACUCUUCUACACAGAAUCUAAUGUUAGGUUAUGUGUUCAACACUUGUCAAAACCCACAGACAUGCGGACCUGAGAGAGGGAUUCCUAAUAUAUACUCUUGACUCCAGUAAAUGAUGUGUUGUUAUAGAUUCCAGUUAAAAGAAAUGUGCCACACUCAAGACGACAACAGUAAGGGACAGCUCAGGGAAGGACAGAGAAAGAAUGACUCUGGGAAGCCUAUUUGUGUGUGUGUGUGUGUGUGUGUGUGUGUGUGUGUGUGUGUGUGUGACACACUGCACACAUGGUAGUCAGAAGACAACUUUAGGAAUCAGUUAUGUCUUUCCACCUUUACAUGUCUCCAGGGAUAGAAGUAGGCAUGUCAGGCUUACUCAGUUAACAAGCAUCUUUAAAAGCUUAACCAUCUCACAAGCCCCUGACUCUUUUAAAACAUAAUUUGUUUUUAAACUGAUGAAACUGUAUAUAUUCAUUAUGUAAUACAUAUCAUAUGUGUUAUAUAUAUAUAUACACACAUAUAUAUGCAUAUAUAUACACAUAUACAUAUAUAUAUGUUAAACAUAAUAUAUAUUGUACAUAAUAGACCUAGCAAAGACAGCCAGGCCUCAGGCUCAUUCUUUCAUGAGUCUGCCUUAGCUUUCACCUGUGUCUGCUUCAGCGAAACAUUCCUUCAUGUAUCUGCUCAAGCAAUAUGUCCUUUCAUUUGUGUCCACUUCAGAAAAACACCCCUUCACAUGUUUGCCCGAGCAAAACACCAUCCAGCACAAUUGACUUUCUAAAGAACCUGUAAGUUUCCAUUUCAUUGAUAUGUUUGUGUUAUCAUAAAAUCAAAAGAAAAAGAAAAAAAAGAUACAAAAUUGAACCACUGUAAUUUGGUAAGGUAUCUAUAUACUGCAAAACAUUUGAAACAUAAUAAGAAGGCAAGCGGCUCAUAGAAGCCAGAUCUGGUGGAUCACAUCUGUAGUCUUAAUACUUGGGAUGCUGAGGCAGGAGGAUCACUGUGAGUUAAGGCCAAUCUGGACCACAUAGUGAGACCUAGCCUCAAGAUACAAAAAAAAAGGGAGAUAAUAUUUUAAUGCUAAAAAUAUCAUGUUUCUAGUCAUACUGUAGAAAAGAGAUUGGAGAGGAAGUGGGGAGAGACAAGAUGGGAACUGCAGGGAGGGAUACAGCUAUCAGCAUGAGGUACAGGUGGUGUCUGUAAUUGAGAUGGACUUUACAGAUAGGAGUGUCUAUCCUCACUCGCUUGCAUCUUACAGAUGGAAAACCAUAAGGGAGAAAGACCAACACCCAGAAUGGCUUGUUUUCUUUUAGUCAGAAUCACAGCUGGUGAGAAGAGCCGUUCCUGAUGUGAGGAGGAAAAGAGCAGGAAGGAGAUUGAGGAGCACAGUCAACAAGAGUUCCAGAUCAGAAGGGCUGAGAGUACACCAAGCAUGAGGCCACCACAAACACUAGGACGGGCAGAGAGCUUAACCUCGAUGCUGUGUAACUGAUCCAUUCCUGAUGGAACUGUCAGCCUUGAGCCCAAUAAGGAUUGUCUUCCCAUCUUGCUUGGACCUCGAUAAUUUGUGCUGACUGAGGAUUGGCAUUUGGUCUUGAAACCGGUUCAAGGCUGCAUAUUUUCUUAGAUCAACCGAUGUUAAGUCUUCUGCAUGUCAACAUAUACCGGACUUCUAAAUAAGAUAUGCAUUUGAUGCAUUUGUUUAAGGACAUGUGGGAUAACCAGGGGCCUUUUGCCAAGUGUUAUGAACUCCUGAGGUUAUGGGCAACAAACAGAUUAUACAUGAGGGACUGUGACUCCCUGUUGACCUAGAUGCCUGACCAAAAGUCCAAAAUGCAGCCUUUCCUCAAGUUAGUGGGCAGUGUAAUGAGAUUUGGUAUCAAGAGACCAGGGUUCAAAGCCAGGACUGUUCACUGACUCCUUUCGUGUUUCCAAAUGAUCUACUGGACUCUCUCCACCUCAUUUCCUCCCUCAUUAUGGCAUUGUUCUAUAGUACUUACUAGUAGCCCACACUUAGGGGGAAGGAUUUCUUGGGAUUUCAGAGAAGCUGAUUCUGGCUGCCAACCCUAGACAGAACUGUGACUUAGAAAAACUUCAACACCUUCCACCCAUCUCUACUCUUCCUGUAAGUCUCCAUCCUGAAUUAACCAUGUGAGCCAAGCUAGUUCAAUGAGUUAACCUUAAGUUUGCUUCGUAGUACUGGAAUAAAACGUUUUUUUUUCUCUUCUUCUAGGCCACUGGUAGAGGUAGCCAUAUUUCUAUUCAUGAGGAUAGCCAGGUUGAAGGAAAUUAUCACACCCUAGGAGAACAGAGGCAGAAAUCUUUGAAUAAACAUAGAUCAUUCUUGGAGAACACCAUGAAGCCUUGGAACAAACUGUGUUCGAGGCUGGCUUUGAACUACUUCAGUCAUGGGAACAAUAAAUCCAUUUCUUAUUUAAACACUUUGAGCCAGUUGUUUUACUCUUUUUCUUCCAUUGUCUAGCUUCUUCUGGAUUUAGAGGUCAAACAUUUUGACUCCUGAGGGAAAACCCACCUCAUCCUAGACAACCUCAUAAACCCUAGAGAAAACUCAUAUGUGAUAUCAGAGAGUGGGUGACAUACAGUGUCUGUCAGUGUUCACCACUACUGCAUAAGGGAUGUAGCUAAUAGACAGGAGAAAUGGAAAUUAAAUUGGAAUUCUAGAAUGUUAUUGAACAAGUCUAAGAUCAGAACCAUGGGGUUAUUUAUGAGCUGUAUGUUCAAUAGCAUUUAGAUAAGUUUUUCUGAAUUACUUUAUUCUUUUUAUGUGGAUGUGUGGAUGUGAGUGUGGGUGCUCAUGGAUCCACAGAGGGCUGUGGAUCCCUUGGAGCUAGAGUUAUAGGCAGUUGUGGAACAUGCAAUGUUAGUGCUAGGAACUCUGGUCCUCUAAAAGAUCUGCAUGGACUCUUAACCACUUAGCCUCCUCAUUUAAGUAUCUUUAAGUUUUCAGGUUUUAUUCCUGAAUCCAAAUAGAAUCUAAGUACAAAUGAAGCCCGUAAGCUGGAGAGCUCUGACCUGGGGAGAUGGGUGCUGUAUCUGUCAGAAUCAGCAAGAUUUUGCUUCAAAAAUAACUGUCUUCUAAAUCUCAGUAGCUUGAAAUAGUCUUAUUUCUCAUGUUGCAUAUGCACUGCAGCGUGGCUUGGAUGCUCUUCUCUGAGACAUCUCUAGUGCCUUAGGGAGUAGAGCUGAUACUCUUUAGAAUCUUGUUGGUAUAAAGAAAGAUCUCUGAGGAGACCUAGUUAAAUCCUCUGCUGAGAAGUAGCAAAUUAUCUCUGACCACAAAUUACUGACUAGUACUAAUAAAACAUCUCUAUACCAAAGGAAGAGGGUUGGGAAAUGCAACUUUACCACUUACUUGCCUGAAAGGAGAAGGCUAGAAACACUUGAUGAAGACCUAAAGACUUUUACUUGGGCUUUGGCACUACUGUUUGGCCUUGCCAAGAUUGUUUUGAUUGACUCAUAAUUCAUGAACAUCAAAAGAUUCUGUUAGGUUGCAGACCAAUAAUAAAGACCUAGGAGGCCUUGUUAGAUGGCAUUCAUAUUUAUGUUCUGACUCAUUAUUACACAUAUAAUAAUAUAAUUUUCCAAAUUCUUGAAGCAUAAGAGUAUGAUUGAUUACAUCAUCUGGCCCUUUGCCUGUCUAAAACUCUGCUAUCAAAUUUUCUUUUUAUCACCACCCCUCUUCUAAACAGAAAAAAAUUUCUCUGAAGUACAAUUAUGUUUGCUUGAACAAUUGUCUUUGAAUGAUUUUGCACACAUUCCAAAAAGAGGAAUCGUGGAAGAUUACAUGUUCUCACAUAAGAUUACUGGUGACUGAGCAUGAUAAACAGUCACUGAUGUCAUGUGAUCUGAAUUUGGUAUGUAAUUCAGAAGGACUUUAAAGAAUGAUAUCAGUAGAAAGCAAGCGACACCAUGUAAAGAAAGGCAAUGGUGCCACAACCUCCCGUCAGAAUGGCUCACAGGGAGGGGUUCCACUCCUUCUCCCACACUUGUGUUUGUCAAGGUGGAGGCUGAGUUUCAGUUAAGGCAGAAGGACUCUCCUGAGAGGAAAUUGAGCACAGAUGGGGGCCAUUCGGAUGCUCACUGGCUUCUUCCCGGGAAGGUAUGUUUAUGGAAGUUAUAUAUGAUCACUCUCUACUUUAUGUUUUAAGUCAGGGUCUCCCACUGAACCUAGAGUGUCUGGGUAAUGAGUUCCAGGGUCUGGCCAGUCCCCACAUCCCCAGUGCUUCAAUCACAAACUUA
rnacentral:lncRNA from 1 species